GGUCCGUUGGCCCAAUGGUAAGGCGUCUGACUACGACAGCUGGUAGACAAUCAGGAGAUUCUGGGUUCGACCCCCAGGCGGACCU